UGCAUAUCCCAAAAGCGGAGGAAAAGAAACCAACAGGGAUUGCCUCAGUAACGGCGAGUGAAGCGGCAAAAGCUCAAAUUUGAAACCCUCGGGAUUGUAAUUUGAAGAUUUGGCAUUGGAGAAAGCUAACCCAAGUUGCUUGGAAUAGUACGUCAUAGAGGGUGACAACCCCGUCUGGCUAACCGUUCUCCAUGUAUUGCCUUAUCAAAGAGUCGAGUUGUUUGGGAAUGCAGCUCAAAGUGGGUGGUAAACUCCAUCUAAAGCUAAAUACUGGUGAGAGACCGAUAGCGAACAAGUACUGUGAAGGAAAGGUGAAAAGAACUUUGAAAAGAGAGUGAAAUAGUAUGUGAAAUUGUUGAUAGGGAAGGAAAUGAGUGGAGAGUGGCCGAGGUUUCAGCCGCCCCUCGUGGGCGGUGUACUGCCGACGCCGAGUCAUCGAUAGCGAGACGAGGGUUACAAAUGGGAGCGCCUUCGGGCGUUCUCCCCUAACCCUCCACACUGCCACCGACACAAAA
rnacentral:rRNA from 1 species